AAAGCUUAUUUCGGAUUAUCUGGAGGGUACAAUCUAUACAAUUUGGUUGAUCACUUCCAUAAUCGUGGCCUGUAUCGGUCGAUUUUCCUAAGCAUAAUGGAAGGAGAAGAGUCCUUUGAAAAAUUCUCUCCGGAAGUAAGAUUGAAAGACCCAGUUGUUGGAAAAGCCGCGUCCCUAAUGCCUCCUAUAAUACUUUUCCAUGGAUCCUCAGAUAAUUCCAUACCAUGCGAUGCAAGGUAUAUAUAAUCGUCCUCU